AUGUCGAAGAAAUCCCGCAGCCGAGGCGGGGGAGGCGCCGGCGCCGCCGCCGGCGACGACCAUGAGGACCUCGCGCGCCCGCCUCCCCUGCAGGCCGUCCUUCUCGCCGACAGCUUCACGCUCAAAUUCCGCCCCAUCACCCUCGAGCGCCCCAAGGUGUUGCUGCCACUGGUGCACAUGCCGAUGAUCGAGUACACGCUCACAUGGCUGGAGUCCGCGGGGGUGGACGAGGCCUUCGUCUUCUGCUGCGCGCACUCCCACCAGGUAAAGGAAUACCUGGAGAAGUCCGGGUGGGCUGAGAAGGCUGGGGCCGGGAGCAUGGCCGUCACGGCCGUCGAGUCGCACGACGCCAUUAGCGCGGGCGACGCGCUCCGCGUCAUCUACGAACGCGGCGUGAUACAUGGAGAUUUCAUUCUCAUCAGUGGUGAUACAAUCAGCAAUAUGAGCUUGAAGGAUGCUCUCCAGGAACAUAUGGACAGGAAGAAAAAGGACCCACUUGCUGUUAUGACUAUGAUUAUAAAGCAUUCGAAACCUUCUAUCCUGACACACCAAACACGUCUGGGUAAUGAUGAAAUUGUCAUGGCGAUAGAUCCUGAGACAAAGGAAUUACUUUAUUACGAGGACAGGGCAGAUAACUCUCACUUGUAUGUUACAAUUGAUAAGGAUAUACUGACCAAUAAUCCUUCUCUCCAGCUGCAUAAUGACAUGGAGGACUGCUAUAUUGAUAUCUGCUCUCCAGAAGUACUAAGUCUUUUCACUGAUAACUUUGAUUAUCAACAUCUUCGGCGCCAUUUCGUGAAGGGGUUACUAGUUGAUGAUAUUAUGGGGUACAAAAUUUAUACUCAUGAAUUACGCUCCGGAUAUGCUGCAAGGAUUGAUAAUUUCAGGAGCUAUGAUACAGUGAGCAAAGAUGUAAUUCAAAGGUGGACAUACCCUAUGGUGCCCGAUGUAAUAUCCAGUGGUGAUUGCUCAGAAAGUAGACUUCAUAGGCAGGGAAUAUACAAGGCAUCAGAUGUAACAUUGUCACAUUCUGCACAAAUUGGUGCAAAUUCUGUUGUUGGCAGUGGGACAAGGAUUGGAGACCACUGCAAAGUAUUAAAUUCAGUUAUUGGGGAGGGCUGCAAGAUUGGGAAAAAUGUUUUGAUUAACGGCUCAUAUAUAUGGGAUAAUGUCAUAAUUGAAGAUGGAUGCAAAGUUAGUAACUCCUUAGUCUGUGGCGGUGUCCAUUUAAAAGCAGGUGCUAUUGUUGAACCUGGUUGCGUACUGUCAUUUAAUGUUGAAGUUGGAAAGAAUGUUGGUGUUCCUGCCCACUCAAAAGUUUCAUUACUUCCUCAGCCUUCAAAUGAAGAUAGUGAUGAAGAACUUGAGUAUGCUGACACCAACUCUGGAGUUACAGAGAGUCCACCCUUUUCCAGCAUGAGGAGUAAUGGCGACCAAGCAACUGUUCCUUCUGAAGAUGAGUCUGGAACAUUUGAGAUUGGGACCUGUGGUGUUGUUGGUUACAUAUGGACAAGCGGUGAUACUGGGAUUCUGGAAGAAUGGAGACAAUCAAUUGCCCCAAUACCUAAAGAAAAACUUGAAGAGUUGCAGCAUGCUGUGUCUGAAGAUGAUGGGUCAGAAGAUGAAUCCAACAAUCCGACUCAACCAGAUAAAGAUGAUUCUUCAGACAUUGCGGUUGAGGAUGAUGAUCCUUUUUCUAAGUUUGAGAAAGAGGUGGAAGAGACAUUCCAACGAGCUCUGGGUGGUGGUGUUAAUCGAGAUAAUUUGAUACUAGAGAUUAAUGGACUCAGGUUGGCUUAUAGCCUUCAACAUGCAGAUUGUGCUGGAGCUGUGUUCUAUUCUGUCAUGAAGAGUGCAUUAGUGGCUGCACAAUCUACUAAUGAUACUCUUCUAAAGACAACAGCCGAAGCACUUGGCAAGUGGAAGGAUCUUUUGCGCAAUUAUACUAAAACAGUUGAUGAAGAGAUGGAGAUACUAUUAAAGUUUGAGGAAAUGUGUCAAGAGACCACAAAAGAAUUUUCUCCACUGUUUUCAAAGAUCUUGCCAUUUCUCUAUGACACGGAGGUGGUAAGUGAAGAUGCAAUUAUGAGAUGGGCGGAAGAGAAAGAACAUGCUGAUGAAUCUGAUAAAGUCUUUGUUAAACAGUCAGAGGCUUUUAUACAGUGGCUCAAGGAAGCUGAAGAGGAGGAUGAUGAAGAAGAGGAAUAACCCUGGAUAUACUACACAUGGUGAAUGCAGAAUCCAAUUUGAGUGGUCACCCGCCGAACGAGGGGCAGCAAAAUCAAAGUCCCAUAGAAAAGAGUAAAAAAAUCAGAGCGGCCUUGGGGCCAAAAGAGGAAAAGCCGGCAACGAAUGACAGGGGUUGCACUGCUGGACUAAGCAAUCUCUCCGUGCCUUCGCCCAUGCUCGUUCGUCAGCAUGUGCCUGAUUUAAUCUACUAGUUCUUUCAUACGGAUUCCUUUUCUCCAUUGUGUGUAUGUUGUGAGUAGGUCAUCAUAGUAUCCAUUGUUUAAUGUCUCAGAUGAUUUUACUUUGACCGUGAGAAAAGUUGGGAUGAUAUGGAAGCCGUCUUUGUUAGGU